AUGUCACCAAAGUUCAUUAAUGAUGCUCACCUGUCUCCUCCCUCAGUGGGUCCAGUCCUCCCACCCCUGAUGCUGCUGCCCCCCUCCUUUGAGGAGCUGCAGGAUGGGAAGGCCACGCUCCUCUGUCUGGCCUUGGAUCUGAUGAUUUGUUACAAUAAUCUUUCAUUUGUAUCACUCUGGUACACGUUUGGUGGAGGAACCAGACUGGAUGUUAACUUGGGUGAACGCCGUCCCACCCUUACGGUGCUGCCCCCCUCCAGUGAGGAGCUGCAGCAGGGGAAGGCCACCCUCAUGUGUCUGGCCAACAAGGGCUUCCCCUCAGACUGGAGUCUGUCCUGGACGCUGGACGGCAGCAGCAGCUUCACCUGGGAAGAAAACAAGAGCCCCGGGGUGCUGCAGAAGGACGGCCUCUACAGCUGGAGCAGCACCCUGAGGCUCCCUGCAGACCAGUGGAGGAAGGUGGGCUCUGUGACCUGUGAGGCCACCCAGGGCUCCCAGACUGCAGUCACACAGACGCUGAGGAGAGACCAGUGUUCCCAGUCCUGACCGCACUCUCUGAGACACUGAUAUUGGCUUUAAUCUGUGACUGCUCUCACUUUUUCUCUCCUGAUUAUUCUCUAGUUUCACUCAGUCAUCUUUGCUUUGUCUUGUUGGUCACUAUUCAAUAAUAAAGAUUUACUCUUCAACUUUCAA